rnacentral:rRNA from 1 species
AUACGGAGGAUGCAAGCGUUAUCCGGAUUCAUUGGGUUUAAAGGGUGCGUAGGCGGACUAUUAAGUCAGUGGUGAAAGCCUGCAGCUUAACUGCAGAACUGCCAUUGAUACUGAUAGUCUUGAGUUUGGUUAAGGUAGGCGGAAUGUGUAAUGUAGCGGUGAAAUGCUUAGAUAUUACACAGAACACCAAUUGCGUAAGCAGCUUACUGAGCCGACACUGACGCUGAGGCACGAAAGCGUGGGGAUCGAACAGGAUUAGGUACCCUGGUAGUCCACGCCGUAAACGAUGAUUACUCGCUGUUGGCGAUACACUGUCAGCGGCUAAGCAAAAGCAAUAAGUAAUCCACCUGGGGAGUACGGCCGCAAGGUUGAA